rnacentral:rRNA from 1 species
UGGCUAAGACUGGAUAGGAAGAUAAAAGGCAUCUUUUAUCUUUUAAAAGACCUAGUAAUAGGUAUGCUUUAGGAGGGGCUUGCGCCAUAUUAGUUAGUUGGUAGGGUAAUGGCCUACCAAGACGAUGAUGUGUAGCUGGACUGAGAGGUUGAACAGCCACAUUGGGACUGAGACACGGCCCAAACUCCUACGGGAGGCAGCAGUAGGGAAUUUUCGGCAAUGGAGGAAACUCUGACCGAGCAACGCCGCGUGAAUGACGAAGUACUUCGGUAUGUAAAGUUCUUUUAUCAAGGAAGAAAAGCAAAUGGCGAACCAUUUGUUUGCCGGUACUUGAUGAAUAAGCCCCGGCUAAUUAUGUGCCAGCAGCCGCGGUAAGACAUAAGGGGCAAGUGUUAUCCGGAAUUAUUGGGCGUAAAGGGUGCGUAGGCGGUCUAGUAAGUCAGUGGUGUAAUGGCAACGCUUAACGUUGUCCGGCUAUUGAAACUGCUAAACUUGAGUUAGAUAGAGGCGAGUGGAAUUCCAUGUGUAGCGGUAAAAUGCGUAAAUAUAUGGAGGAACACCAGAGGCGUAGGCGGCUCGCUGGGUCUUAACUGACGCUGAGGCACGAAAGCGUGGGGAGCAAACAGGAUUAGAUACCCUGGUAGUCCACGCCGUAAACGAUGAGUACUAAGUGUCGGGUUAAACCGGUACUGAAGUUAACACAUUAAGUACUCCGCCUGAGUAGUACGUACGCAAGUAUGAAACUUAAAGGAAUUGACGGGACUCCGCACAAGCGGUGGAUCAUGUUGUUUAAUUCGAAGAUACCCGAAAAACCUUACCAGGUCUUGACAUGUUUUUGCAAAAUGAUAGUAAUAUCGUGGAGGUUACCAGAAACACAGGUGGUGCAUGGUUGUCGUCAGCUCGUGUCGUGAGAUGUUAGGUUAAGUCCUAAAACGAGCGAAACCCUUAUCGUUAGUUGCCAGCACGUUAUGGUGGGGACUUUAACGAGACUGCCAAUGAUAAAUUGGAGGAAGGUGAGGAUCACGUCAAAUCAGCAUGCCCCUUAUGACCUGGGCUACAAACGUGAUACAAUGGCUGUUACAAAGGGUAGCUGAAACGCAAGUUCUUGGCCAAUCCCCAAAAACAGUCCCAGUCCGGAUUGAAGUCUGCAACUCGACUUCAUGAAGUUGGAAUCGCUAGUAAUCGCGAAUCAGCAUGUCGCGGUGAAUACGUUCUCGGGGUUUGUACACACCGCCCGUCAAACCACGAAAGUUGGCAAUACCCCAAAACGGUAGCCUAACUCGUUUAUUCGAGAGGGCGCCGUCUAAGGUAGGGUCGAUGAU